GAUGAAGAACGUAGCAAAAUGCGAUACUUGGUAUGAAUUGCAGAAUCCCGUGAACCAUCGAGUUUUUGAACGCAAGUUGCGCCCGAAGCCUUUUGGCCGAGGGCACGUCUGCCUGGGCGUCACGCAUCGCGUCGCCCCCCACAAAUUCUCCGUCAGGGGAGCUUGUGUUUCGGGGGCGGAUACUGGUCUCCCGUGCUCAUGGCGCGGUUGGCCGAAAUAGGAGUCCCUUCGAUGGACGCACGAACUAGUGGUGGUCGUAAAAACCCUCGUCUUUUGUUUCGUGCCGUUAGUCGCGAGGGAAGCUCUUCAAAAACCCCAACGCGUCGUCUCUUGACGGCGCUUCGACCGCGACCCCAGGUCAGGCGGGACUACCCGCUGAACUUAAGCAUAUCAAUAAGCGGAGGA
rnacentral:misc_RNA from 1 species